rfam:Naegleria gruberi genomic scaffold NAEGRscaffold_90, whole genome shotgun sequence.
GACGGUGUAGCUCAGUGGUAGAGCAAUGAUUCAAAAAUGAUUUCUGUUCAGAGAUCUAACUGCAACCAACCAAACUUCGUUGGUCGAGGGUUCGACCCCCUCCAUCGUCA